rnacentral:rRNA from 1 species
GAACGCUGGCGGCGUGCUAACACAUGCAAGUCGCGCGUGAAAGGACUUCGGUCCGAGUAAAGCGGCGCACGGGUGAGUAACGCGUGGAUGAUCUACCCAUGAGUUAGGAAUAACGGCUGGAAACGGUCGCUAAUACCAAAUACGCUCCGAUUUCAACUUCGGGGGAAAGGUGGCCUCUGCUUGCAAGCUACUGCUCAUGGAUGAGUCCGCGUCCCAUUAGCUAGUUGGUGGGGUAACGGCCCACCAAGGCGACGAUGGGUAGCCGGUCUGAGAGGAUGACCGGCCACACUGGGACUGGAACACGGCCCAGACUCCUACGGGAGGCAGCAGUGGGGAAUAUUGCGCAAUGGGCGAAAGCCUGACGCAGCGACGCCGCGUGAGGGGAAUGAAGGUCCUCGGAUCGUAAACCUCUGUCAGGAGGGAAGAACCGCCACGGUGCUAAUCAGCCGUGGUCUGACGGUACCUCCAAAGGAAGCACCGGCUAACUCCGUGCCAGCCGCCGC